AGGGUUCUAGCUCUGUUGAGCGAGUUUAAUAGUUAGGACAGGGAAUCAGCCUCAGUACCCAGUGCUAGUGAGCUCUGGAUGUUUCUCAGACGAGUUGUCAGGUUUUCCAUCUGUUAGGGAGUCAGAGUUUGGAAUGAAAAUGGUAUCUGGACGCAGAACCAAUUCUUUCUUUCCUUUUCCUACAGAAUGGCACCUGCAGAGAGAGCUAAGAG
rnacentral:lncRNA from 1 species